rnacentral:rRNA from 1 species
CCAGACUCCUACGGGAGGCAGCAGUGAGGAAUAUUGGUCAAUGGGCGGGAGCCUGAACCAGCCAAGUCGCGUGAGGGAUGACGGCCCUAUGGGUUGUAAACCUCUUUUGCCGGGGAGCAAAAAGCGGUACGUGUACCGCAUCGAGAGUACCCGGAGAAAAAGCAUCGGCUAACUCCGUGCCAGCAGCCGCGGUAAUACGGAGGAUGCGAGCGUUAUCCGGAUUUAUUGGGUUUAAAGGGUGCGUAGGCGGAAUGCCAAGUCAGCGGUAAAAUCGCGGGGCUCAACCUCGCUCCGCCGUUGAAACUGGCGUUCUUGAGUGGGCGAGAAGUAUGCGGAAUGCGUGGUGUAGCGGUGAAAUGCAUAGAUAUCGCGCAGAACUCCGAUUGCGAAGGCAGCAUGCCGGCUCCACACUGACGCUGAGGCACGAAAGCGUGGGUAUCGAACAGGAUUAGAUACCCGAGUA